UACAGAGGUCCCAAGCGUUGUUCGGAUUCAUUGGGCGUAAAGGGUGCGUAGGCGGCGCGGUAAGUCGGGUGUGAAAUCUCGGGGCUUAACUCCGAAACUGCAUUCGAUACUGCCGUGCUUGAGGACUGGAGAGGAGACUGGAAUUUACGGUGUAGCGGUGAAAUGCGUAGAGAUCGGGAGGAACACCAGAGGCGAAGGCGGCGACCUGGACAGACACUGACACUCAACUGCGAAAGCGUGGGGAGCAAACAGG
rnacentral:rRNA from 1 species